rnacentral:rRNA from 1 species
AUGCCAGCAGCCGCGGUAAUACGUAGGGGCCAAGCGUUAUCCGGAAUUAUUGGGCGUAAAGGGUCCGCAGGUGGCAGUUCAAGUCUGCAGUCAAAGGUCGGGGCUCAACCCCGGAAAGGCUGUGGAAACUGAACAGCUAGAGUACGGUAGGGGCAGAGGGAAUUCCCAGUGUAGCGGUGAAAUGCGUAGAGAUUGGGAAGAACACCGGUGGCGAAAGCGCUCUGCUAGGCCGAAACUGACACUGAGGGACGAAAGCUAGGGGAGCGAAAGGGAGUAGAGACCCCUGUAGUCCUAGCUGUAAACGAUGGAGACUAGGUGUGGCCUGUAUCGACCCGGGCCGUGCCGGAGCUAACGCGUUAAGUCUCCCGCCUGGGGAGUACGCACGCAAGUGUGAAACUCAAAUGAAUUGACGGGG